rnacentral:lncRNA from 1 species
UUAAUUCUAAUUCAAUAUAGAAACUCAGUGAUGGUUUUGUUAUUAGGUUAAAUUAACUAAAUUUUAUCACACUUCGGCUCUUUGUAUUGAUGUGUGUAUUAAAAGCAUUGAAUUCAUAGCAAAAGUUUAAUAAUGGAAAAGAAUUAAAAUGAAAAAGAACUGUUUUUAUGUAAUAUGAAUAAAUAUAUUAAUUACAAUUGCAUUGAAUCUGUUGGUAUGGUUUAAGCGGUGGCACUUAGGGUUUUUGGGACAGGGCUGGAACAUGGAGUCGGGUUUAAUUUGCCACUAGUUUUAGGCUUGACAUUCAAACAUUGGGAUGUUGCGGGUUCAGGUCCGGUGUGCUUAAUAUCAAUGUCUGCAAGUUCCACAUUUUGACAUGGCGAAGAACCGCUGCAAAUAAACUUGACAGCUUCUGGAAGCGCAGAUGUGCCACGGAUGUUCUUGAAGCUAAUGUUGCUUAGUUUAACUUUCGAUUCUUCCUGCAUCAACACAACAACGAUUCAAUGAUGAAUUAAAUAUUGUCACUCUAUUAGGAUUUUGAUAAGAAUGUACAUACAUUUAUCUUGCAUUUACUCCAUGGGCAAUAUUUUUGAUCAAUUAGGAUAGGGGAAGAGACAUUGUUCACGAUAAUAUCCUCAAAAUGUACAUCUGAUACUAUCCCAGGAGAUUCGCCUGGCCAAGUUUUGAUUCGAGCUCCAUUCGAAGUAUUAGUGAUGGUGCAGUUUGUGACUUUAACUCCCUCAACUGGCUCUUCAUUUGGGUACUUUCCAAGACUACCGAUACUUAUACCAUGUCCUGGUCCACAAGUUAUAUCUUUUAUGUCCAAAUUUUUAGUGCCAUCUCCGAUAGAAAUACAAUCAUCACCAGUUUUAAUCUCACAUCCAAUAAUAUUUACGCCGUCUGAUUUGCCCAUGUGAAUCCCAUCUGUGUUUGGGCUAUCUGCCGGUGCCUCUACCGUGAAACGUUCGAGGGUAAUGUUUUUGCAUGCAAAAACAUUAACGUGGAAUAGUUUACUGUCUUUGCUAGUUAUAUCUUGUAUCAAUGCGUUGGUCAGAAAGUCAAACCUUAUAUUCUGUUUAAUUUUGGAGUUAACAAAGUAACACACGAAACAAAGAUGUUAGUUAUAAUUAUAUUUUGAUAAUAAUAAGAGGAAAGAGAAUAAAUAAAUUUUGGCAAGAGGGAAGAAAGCUGACAACGGGGAGUUUGACACGAAAUGCACGAUUGUGGGGAUCUUUAUUCUUCUCAUAAGCAAUGCUUCCCUGACCAUCGAAAAUUCCUCCGCCGGACAUUUUGAAAUUUUCAAUACUAUAGAAUCUAACCCAAUUAGGGUCCUUGAAAGCACCAGGAUCAGCCGGAGCCUUUAUAGUGCCCUGAACAUUAAUCUCAAUAGGAGCCUUGCAUGGACCUUCUAAGUUUACUUUUGAUAAUAAAUAUGUCCCUUUAGGAAUCACAACUGUUGAUGGGGUUACAGAGGCACAUGCUUCUUUCCAAGCAUCCAAAAAUGGCUAAAAUGAAAUGAAUAAAGACAUCAGUUUGAAAUAUAAUUUCUUUCAUAUUUUCACCUUUGGGUACAAAGUUAAGAGCAAUUCAACUUGCCUUACUCAAAUCCGUUUUCCCGUCAGCUUUUGCGCCAAACUUGGCAACAACAUCAAUAGCGCCUGAUUGAACUUUAGAGGCUGAAAUGAAUAAUAAUAAAAGCACAAACAUGGAAGGAACAAUAUUAAGGUGUGGUGCCAUGUUUUUAUUUGGUUUUGAAAUUACACGAAGAAUGGCUUUUCCUUUUGUUUUUUUCCAAAUAUAUAGAAAUUUUGAGAAAAUUACAACCAAUCAAAUAUAUUACUAUUUAAUCAAUGUGGAAAAGUCAUAUGGCCAAGCUUCAAUAUCUAUGAUUAGCUUGUUUCUUUAAUAUCAACUUCGCACGGUUAGAUAGUUUUGUGGUUAAUUUUUUCACAACUUUAAUAAUUUAAACUAUGUGAAAGGAUUUUAUUAUGGAAAGAUUGAAAAGCAUUAUUUUACAUUUUAUCUUCAAAAUAAUAUCUUUACUAGAUGGUGGCGAAUAUAAUUAUGUUCCGUUAAAUUUAUCAAUGUUAUUUCGAAAAGUAUAAUCCUAAUUAUUCAAUAAAAAUUGUUGAUACAGUAAUGUGGUUUGGUGGUUGACGAAGGUUCACACCAUAUUGCCGAAAGCAAUUCUGGUGGUUUCUAGCACUCUUCUCAAUCACUGUUUUCCUGGCCCUAUAAUACCUAGUCGAGCUAACGUUCGCCCUGGACUUCAGCCUAAACUUCACCCACGUAACAAUUAUUAGUGAAAACCUGAUGGGCAUUUGACUUCUCUUUCCAAAUAGAUUUACUUUUAUCUUUUAAUUUCCUCAACUUCUCUCAAGCAUCUUGUAAUUUCUUAUCUUCAUCCCCAUCUAACACGUAUCGAAUUUCACAAGGUAUGACUUUUCACCACCAACACCAACCCUUUCAUUAUCACCCUUGUAUGAAUCCUCACGUUCACCUUUACCCUCAUCCCCACCCCUCAUUCUAGAAGAUACAAACUGACCAUGAGAUAAAAUGGAUCGAAUUAGUGGGAAAAUAUUGAACCUAAAUAGAUGAUCGGCAUUCUAUGAUAGUAACCUGCAUUUGACAAGGUAAAUGGACAAAGCUUUACAAGCUUAGCUUUCGUAACAUUAUAUAUUGGGGAGAUCGAUCAUGGUACUUUUAGUAGAUUGAGUCUACAACUAAAUAAAUUCUAAUUAAGAUUUUAUUUAAGCCCUAAUUAUUUAUGUACGAUCGAUCCCUCUGCUAGCUUAAUAUAACUCUAAGUAGAUUGCAUAAUAAGAACUGAUUGAAUGUAUGGAUGCAAAUGAUAUAUUAGAAUUAGAUGGAAUGAAUUACUAUUCCAUGUAAAUGCGAUUUCAUGAGAAUGGAAAAGAUGACCCGGAAUUAAUUUAAUUCCGUCGGUUUGUUAUUUAAUUCAAUGAAUAAAUUAAAUAAAUAAGUCCAAAGUGAGGAUUAAAUUAAGUAGUUAACGUAGUUAUAUUUUGUUCAGAUAAUUAAAUUAAUUUGCAUGUAAAUUCUAGUCUGGAAAAGCUUUCAUGAUUCUAACAAAAAUUGAAUGGGGUUUUGUAAAUUAAGUAGUGGAAAUAAUUAAAUUUAAUGAAAUAUUUAAUUUCAAAAAACUUAAUUCAUGGAAGAAUAUAUGCUAUUGGGUUAGAUAAUCAUAUGGUCUUGAUUUCUUAUUUAAGUCAAGAGAGGUAGGCUCGUAUAAUUAAACUGGAGAACAAACCACUAAGGUAAGUGUGCCUCCGCACACAAAGAGAGUUAUCUCUUGGAGUCGCUGGCCAUGGGGUUAAAAAUGUCCUAGUUGGACUUUAGUUCUUCUAUAUUAUUUAUUUUACGUACAUCGGAUACAAAUAUAACUCUUGCAUAUGUUUCUUUAUCAAUACCCAAUUUAUGUAAAAAAAAACCAAGGACAAUAUAUACUAAGAGAAAACUUUGUAGAAAUUUAUUGAAAUAUUAGUUAGAUUCUAUUUUCUUUCAACUCAAAUCAAUUCUAUCGUUUUAGACUUUGUAAUUUAGAUUUUUAAGAUUAUAAUGACAUUCUUCUAAAGAGAAUAAUUGAAUUAUAGGAGUUGUUUUCGAUUGGGUGGAACACAAAGAGGUAGUUGACAUACCUCCUUGAUUAGUCUCGGUUUACGUCUUCUUUUCAGUUUUGGAUAGGACGCAAAGAGCUAGAUGCAUAGUUGCUUGAGAAGUCUCGAUUCACGUCUUGUGCUUUACUUUUUCAGUUACAUCCCACUUUCCAAGCACCUGAGUGUUCAAGAAUAGGGAAGAAAAUCGUUCAGUAGAAAGGUUGAAGACAUUGGACUACUAUUCGAAUUGAUCAAGACAAUGAAGGCAUCUCCCAAACUUUCCUUGCGACUUGGACAUCCCCUAAGCCUUGGACCACAACGAUUUAAUUUGAUCAAAUUUAUUACUUUAGAUGUCACGAUAAAUGCCCAUUUUACUAUAGAAAUUAAAACUCUAAUGUUCCUACCCUAGCUACUUUUCUAAAUGCAUUUCCAACAUGAACCCCGAAUCAGAAAAGAAACCAUGAAAAAAAAAGAGUUUCAAGCCAAACACACAAAAAUAAGAAAAAGAGACUAACCUUUGAGAAUCUAAAGGCAAAAACUACACAUCACAUCAACAAAUUUAGGGAUCUUUAAGUGAUAAUCGCAAGAUACCCAAACACUACACUUAAUCUCGAUGUAAAUAUCUCACCUUUCUAAAAAUCUUUAUACAGUUCCACAAAAUGUUCUCUCAUUCUCCUUUUUGGGGUUCAAUUUGUUUAUAUGAAAUAAUUAAACAUAAAAUGGCGUCACAUCAUUAUCGAAUAAUGUGGUUAAUGAGUCCCCAAUAGAUUCGAACAUUCGAGAAGAAAGACGCUGUGCAAGUUUGGAGAAGAAGCUUGGUAGAUUAGAAAAGCGCUAGUUUUGGCCGUGGACUAUAAAGACCUAGUAAUUAUUACUGACCUAUUCAAUUCAGAAAUUAGAGAUCAUUCUUGAUUGUGUUGGAAACAUUCGUUUAGAAAAUGAUUGUUUGGAACAACAAAAAAAAUUAAAAAUUUCUCAACCCAAGCAGUUGUCAUAUUUAUAGGGACAAACCCUUUUACCAAAAUCAUACUUGUGCUCUGGAUUAGGCGGUCUAAGUUGUUUCUCAAUAUUCUACCAACACGAUCUUCUCAACUAUUCAAAAACCUCGGCUAGUUGCUCUAAUCCAUGAAAGGAAGAAAGCUAUGAAAACUUUCUAUUGAUGUUGGAGUGGCGAAUAUUGAUGUCCCUUUAUGGGCCAAAAACUUAAAAAGUAAACAUUCAUAUUUUUAAUUUUUUUUGAAUUAAAUCUCAAUAAAGUUUUACGAUGUCGAUGCUUCACAUCGUGUGUGGUUGACCUAGCCUAUGCUCUCUAUUUAUAGAAAAAUCGCAAGAGUCUUGGUCGAACAAGAAGAAGAAAAUAUAUAAUAACAUUUUAAAAGAGAAUACACAUAAUUCUCUAGUAGGAAUAUGUAUGGGCUUCAACACCCUCUCUUUAGAGAUAGGGUUGUCGCCCAUCUUACGUGAGAUGGGGUCAUCGGGUCUAUCUCAUGUAUUUGGUGUAAUUAUAUGUGUCAUUUAGUAAUUUAAUCGACGCAUAUAAUUUAACCAACCAAAUAAAAAAUUUUCUAUUUCCCAAAAUAUUAAUAAUUUAAUUAAUUAAUUGAAAUAAAUUUUACUAAUUCCAACAAUUAAAUUUUUUUCCAAACCUAGUUCUAAUUCCGUUAAAUUCAUGACAUAUUUACCACACUAGAAUCUAUGAGUAAAUGAAUCUAAUUAUUUUGUUCAACCAGAUUGCGUUAAUUAAUUAAUUUAAUUUUUACUUCAAACACCGGUUCAGUGAUUACUAUUAAUUAAAUAAUAAUUCGAAUAAAUUAAUUUAGUCUUCAAGUCAUCUCUCUUUUAUAACGAGAAAUUCCAUUCACUACGGAUAGUGAUACAUUCGAUCCUUUUCUGUAAUUCAUCAAUUUUAUUUAUUCACCUCAUCAAUUCAAAUGCAAACCAUCAAGGUUGUAUAGAGCUAAUAGAGGGGCCCACUGGAUAUAUAAUUAGAGCUCAAAUAGUUUGUACUUAAGUGCCAUGACCGACCUCUUCUUAUUAUAACUCAUUAUGAAAACAACUCACCAAGUGCUCGUCCAAUGAAUUUUUCGUAUGUGCUAUAGCCUCAUAGGAUAUCCCCAAUCCCUUUCAUUUAUAUCCGUUCACCCAAAAUGAUAUUAUCAUAUCUCAUGGUAACCAUCACAUCUUCUUUCAUGAAGAAUGUUACGUCAACAGAAAAAGAAACAAACCAAUGAACAAAUAUAAUCAUAUGUCUAAGCACACAAAUAAUACAGGAAUAUGUUGUUCAAAAAAUUUGGACGACGAACUUUCAUUUUAAUUAAAAUCUCAAAUUUAAUAUUUUAUUUUCCUUAAAACUGCUAUGUUGGAAGACGGUUUUUAUAAAAAAUUACACGUAGAUAAAGAAAAUUUCAAUCAUUAAUUCUAAUUCAAUAUAGAAACUCAGUGAUGGUUUUGUUAUUAGGUUAAAUUAACUAAAUUUUAUCACACUUCGGCUCUUUGUAUUGAUGUGUGUAUUAAAAGCAUUGAAUUCAUAGCAAAAGUUUAAUAAUGGAAAAGAAUUAAAAUGAAAAAGAACUGUUUUUAUGUAAUAUGAAUAAAUAUAUUAAUUACAAUUGCAUUGAAUCUGUUGGUAUGGUUUAAGCGGUGGCACUUAGGGUUUUUGGGACAGGGCUGGAACAUGGAGUCGGGUUUAAUUUGCCACUAGUUUUAGGCUUGACAUUCAAACAUUGGGAUGUUGCGGGUUCAGGUCCGGUGUGCUUAAUAUCAAUGUCUGCAAGUUCCACAUUUUGACAUGGCGAAGAACCGCUGCAAAUAAACUUGACAGCUUCUGGAAGCGCAGAUGUGCCACGGAUGUUCUUGAAGCUAAUGUUGCUUAGUUUAACUUUCGAUUCUUCCU